GGAAAUACCCAUAGAAGUUCUACAGAAAUUUGAAUUGGCUGACCUAGCAUAUAGAAUUAUUAUACGUUUUUUAUGUCCUUUUCAAUUUCAACCAAAAAUCGGCUCCAAAAGAAAUCGAUCUUCACCCUUAAAAUGAACUGGUAGAAUUUUCCCUAAAUCAUUUCAUUUUCCCCCCAAAGUAAGAGCAAAACUGUUGCCCUUCAUCGUUGAAUUUGUGGGCCGACAUCUGGACCAUUGACUGGCGCCGUCCUUCUAAUGUAGUGUGAAGACAGCAGCACAUCGAAACCCAACAUGAAAAUAGUAUUUGAAGACAGCGCUGAUAUCUACGUGUCUGAGCUAGGCAAAGUUAUUUUGUUAUUUACUGUUUUAUGCUAAUUUAUGGUUAAACUGUCUUAGACUUGUUUACAUGAUUUGUGUGUUUUUUCUUCUUUGUUUUGACAUAUAUUUGAAGUAUAUUGAUUAUGUAGC
rnacentral:lncRNA from 1 species